GGGCCCGCACAAGCAGUGGAGCAUGUGGUUUAAUUCGACGAUACGCGAAGAACCUUACCAGGGUUUGACAUUUAUAGGAAUGUACUAGAGAUAGUGCAGCUCUUCGGAGCUUAUAAACAGGUGCUGCAUGGCUGUCGUCAGCUCGUGCCGUGAGGUGUUGGGUUAAGUCCCGCAACGAGCGCAACCCUUAUUAUUAGUUGCCAUCGGGGUAAUGCCGGGCACUCUAAUGAGACUGCCGUCAUAAGGCGGAGGAAGGUGGGGAGUGACGUCAAGUCAGCAUGGCCCUUACGUCCUGGGCUACACACGUGCUACAAUGGCCGGUACAGAGGGCAGCGAAGCCGCGAGGUGGUGCGAAUCCCAAAAAGCCGGUCUCAGUUCGGAUUGCAGGCUGCAAUUCGCCUGCAUGAAGCCGGAAUUGCUAGUAACCGCAGAUCAGCUACGCUG
rnacentral:rRNA from 1 species